UAUUUCGUGUUGACUAUCAUUAAGAGGC
rnacentral:piRNA from 1 species